ACUUGAACGUUAUAUACGCUUGAAAUGAAGGAAAGCUAUGGGCACUUGCAUAAAAAUUCAAAACACAGAUAGCUUAUCACAAUUAAAUCAUGGUGGCUGAAACGAGCUAAAAAACUAAAAAAACUGAACAUGAACGAUGACAGUGCCAUUACUGGGUGGGUGGGGAAAAUUCGAUUUUACGAUAAGAAGCGGCAACCAAGCAUAAAGUUGUCAUCCUAUGUUCACUAGAAGCGCUGCACGUUAUGAGCAAAUGUUAUUGAAAAAGGUUGCGCUGUCUGACGGAAGUGAAGUAAAAUACAAUUCUACAAUGUUGCCGCCUCAUACAAAAAAUUUAAUUGAGCGCCCAAAACUGAUCAUUAGAAAGCAGGUCGGAGUUACCGGUAAUGACGUCAAUGAUGCCCUUUAGCUCAUGCAUGCUGCCGAGUCUCUACUAAAAUAGACGAAAUACAAAUUUUUCAUGGUCGAAUUGAUGCUUAUGGUGUGAAAAACUGUAAAUUUUUCGAACUAAUGCGGGCCAUCAUGGAAUGAAGAAAAUUGAUGGAUAAAUCGUAAGUGAAUAUUCUUUUCAGGUGAAAUCGACAAAUGUCGUCAAUUUCUAUAUUUGACGACGGUGUAAGGAUAAGCAACAAGCACUUAGUGACGUAACUGUAACGUACAAAUGGCAGCCAUUCACCUCCUCCUUUAUCUCUGUAAACAAUCUGCUUCUCUCUCGUGAAUUUGGCCACAUUUGAAACCAUUUGAAAGUUGAGAUCAAGCACCUCAACUUACGUUUUCAAUUACUGAAGAUCUUUCACCGUAGAGAAACUUAUUAUCUCUGUUAUCAAUAUCAAUUCGUUUUAUUCUUUAAUCUGUUAUUUUUUUAAAUCAUGUUUAUUUAUGUAGUGAUCUGACCGAUUGUCUCCUCAACCACGGAACUCGAGAUUUAAGUAUCUCAGGAUUUUCAUCAUGGCAGAUGACUUGCUUCAAGAUGAUUACGUCGGACAGCUGGAUUUGGAUGCUGAUGAGGAGGAUGCACUACUUGAAAAAGAAUUUGAGAACCGGCACUCAAUUUUUCUUGAUCAGGAUGGGGAAAAAGUACACAGGUAUAAUUUUGAUGAUGAUGAGGAGGAGGACAUUCUGGACAUUGGAGUGCCAGAAGAUUUGGCCUUAAUAGAAUCCGAUUACUCAGCAGCUGUCGAGAAAGCGCCUCAAAGAAUAGUUGAGCAAAAGGAUUCAACCAUCACAAUUACAAAUUUUCCAAAACCCACCACCCAAAACAACCCCAUCUCUAUAUCAAGCAGUGCGACGAACGAUAAUGUUUCAGAGAAUAUGCCAUCCUCUACUUCGGAGCUUUCUGUUGCAUCUAAAGGUGAUGGAGGUGGGUUCAAAAGUGCAAAAAGAUUGUUAUCUCAAACAACAAUCCUACAGGUUUAGCAGUGAAGCCAAAUUUUCAGAUUUUUACCAAGGAGCUUCGCAACCGUAGAGAAAACAACAUCA
rnacentral:lncRNA from 1 species